CUACGGGGCGCACCAGUGGGGAAUAUUGGACAAUGGGCGAAAGCCUGAUCCAGCAAUACCGCGUGAAUGAUGAAGGCCUUAGGGUUGUAAAGUUCUUUUAGUUGGAAAGAUAAUGACGGUACCAACAGAAAAAGCCCCGGCUAACUCCGUGCCAGCAGCCGCGGUAAGACGGAGGGGGCUAGCGUUGUUCGGAAUUACUGGGCGUAAAGGGCGCGUAGGCGGAUUAGUAAGUUGGGAGUGAAAGCCCGGGGCUUAACCUCGGAACUGCUUUCAAAACUGCUAGUCUUGAGUGAAGUAGGGGAUGAUGGAAUUCCUGGUGUAGAGGUGAAAUUCUUAGAUAUUAGGAAGAACACCGGUGGCGAAGGCGGUCAUCUGGACUUCAACUGACGCUGAGGCGCGAAAGCGUGGGGAGCAAACAGGAUUAGAUACCCCCGUAGUC
rnacentral:rRNA from 1 species